CAGUCGCCGCGGUAAUACGAAGGGUGCAAGCGUUACUCGGAAUUACUGGGCGUAAAGCGUGCGUAGGUGGUGGUUUAAGUCCGUUGUGAAAGCCCUGGGCUCAACCUGGGAAUUGCAGUGGAUACUGGGUCACUAGAGUGUGGUAGAGGAUAGUGGAAUUUCCGGUGUAGCAGUGAAAUGCGUAGAGAUCGGAAGGAACAUCUGUGGCGAAGGCGACUAUCUGGGCCAACACUGACACUGAGGCACGAAAGCGUGGGGAGCAAACAGGAUUAGAUACCCGCGUAGUCCAUGUCUCUUAUAC
rnacentral:rRNA from 1 species